rnacentral:rRNA from 1 species
CCUACGGGUGGCAGCAGUGAGGAAUAUUGGUCAAUGGGCGCGAGCCUGAACCAGCCAAGUCGCGUGAGGGAAGACGGCACUACGUGUUGUAAACCUCUUCUGCCGGGGAGCAACGGGCGCCACGUGUGGCGCCACUGAGAGUACCCGGAGAACAAGCAUCGGCUAACACCGGGCCAGCAGCAGCGGUAAUACGGAGGAUGCGAGCGUUAUCCGGAUUUAUUGGGUGAAAGGGGUCCGUAGGCGGAGCGUUAAGUCAGCGGGCAAAUUGCGGGGCUCAACCCCUUCCCGCCAUUGAAACUGGCGCUCUUGAGUGGAAGAGAAGUAUGCGGAAUGCGUGGUGUAGCGGUGAAAUGCAUAGAUAUCACGCAGAACCCCGAUUGCGAAGGCAGCAUGCCGGCUUCCUACUGACGCUGAAGCACGAAAGCGUGGGGAUCGAACAGGAUUAGAUACCCGUGUAGUC